GCUCUUCCGGUUUCCGGUUCCGUGCUUCAACAGAGGCCGCUGGGUGUUAAUGGUGCGGCUAGCUGCACGGCGGUUCAGCUUUGUUCCAGUUACUUUUAGUUGCCUGGGAGUGUUUCGCAACGGAAAGAAAAGGGUCAAAAACAAUCUCUGUUGUGACAGACUGUCUACCCCCAGGUAUGUGAGUUUGUUUUAUCUAUUUUUAUGUGAGACGCUAGGUUAAAUGCCGGGGGUGUAGUGUUAAUUGCUUUAUUUCCCCAGUCAGUGUUAUUUCGUCACCCGAUGCUCAUCCAUAUCCGGUUUAUUACUGAACCAGUACUGUAUCUGUGAUUUGGUGUGGCAGACGGCUACUUCUCCGGUUCCGGGGAAUUCCUGCUGUAUGUGCAGUUGAUGCUGCACCUUGUUCCCGGGACAACGCUGCUGUUUUGUUCCGUGUUAAUUUUUUGGUGUUUUGUGUUAAAUUGCUUUGCUCCUCGCUAAAUUGCUCUCUUUGGUAACUGUUUAUUUUUGGUUUCGGUUUUGUUUCUUGAUUUAUAGCCACACUGUUACUUUCUUUCUGACACUGUUACUGUGCUCUAAAUCCUACCUUGAGGUAGGAAGCCUUUUUGCUGAAGUCAGUGUGGUAAUUAGUUAUUUUGUUACUUCAUUUAAUUGCUUUGUCCUGAUAUCUAAUUUAUAUAUUUUCUUGGAUUGGUUUAUACUUCCUCCUGGGUUUUGUAAACCUUUACUCUUUUUGUUUUGUUUAUUUGGUUUUCUUUGG